rnacentral:misc_RNA from 1 species
GACCAAAUGAAUAGUGUUUGUUCAAAUGGUAAUAACUCAGUGUAGGCAAGUUCAAUUGAUCUGAAAUUUUACUAGCAAAAAGCUGAGACAUAGAACUACAACUUUCAUGAAGAACACAAAUCUAAAUUCUGAUCAUAAUAUAGUCAAAUUGUCAACUAAACUUAGGUUACCAAAUUUGGCAGAACCAGUUUUGCCUAGAAUUUUGGAUUAUGUCUAAUCCAGUCAGUUAUGGUGUUUAGGCCAUAAC